CCUACGGGAGGCAGCAGUGGGGAAUAUUGCACAAUGGGGGAAACCCUGAUGCAGCAACGCCGCGUGAGUGAAGAAGUACUUCGGUAUGUAAAGCUCUAUCAGCAGGGAAGAAGAUGACGGUACCUGAAUAAGAAGCCCCGGCUAACUACGUGCCAGCAGCCGCGGUAAUACGGAGUGGGCAAGCGUUAUCCGGAUUUACUGGGUGUAAAGUGAGCGCAGACGGCAGUGCAAGUCUGGAGUGAAAGCCCGGGGCCCAAACCCGGAACUGCUCUGGAAACUGGGCGGCUGGAGUACUGGAGGGGCAGGCGGAAUUCAUGGUGUAGCGGUGAAAUGCGUAGAGAUUAGGAGGAACACCAGUGGCGAAGGCGGCCUGCUGGACAGUAACUGACGUUGAGGCUCGAAAGCGUGGGGAGCAAACAGGAUUAGAUACCCCGGUAGUC
rnacentral:rRNA from 1 species